rnacentral:rRNA from 1 species
CCUACGGGUGGCAGCAGUGGGGAAUAUUGCACAAUGGGGGAAACCCUGAAGCAGCGACGCCGCGUGAGUGAAGAAGUAUUUACGUACGUUAAGCUCUAUCAGCAGGGAAGAAAAUGCCGGUACCUGACUAAGAAGCCCCGGAUAACUACGUGCCAGAAGCCGCGGUAAUACGUAGGGGGCAAGCGGUAUCCGGAUUUACUGGGUGUAAAGGGAGCGUAGACGGCAGCGCAAGUCUGGAGUGAAAUCCCAUGGCUUAACCAUGGAACUGCUUUGGAAACUGUGAAGCUAGAGUGCAGGAGAGGUAAGCGGAAUUCCUAGUGUAGCGGUGAAAUGCGUAGAUAUUAGGAGGAACAACAGUGGCGAAGGCGGCUGACUGGACUGUAACUGACGUUGAGGCUCGAAAGCGUGGGGAGCAAACAGGAUUAGAUACCCCGGUAGUC